rnacentral:rRNA from 1 species
AUUGAACGCUGGCGGCAGGCCUAACACAUGCAAGUCGAACGAGUGGCGGACGGGUGAGUAAUGUCUGGGAAACUGCCCGAUGGAGGGGGAUAACUACUGGAAACGGUAGCUAAUACCGCAUACCAUCGGAUGUGCCCAGAUGGGAUUAGCUAGUUGGUGGGGUAACGGCUCACCUAUGCGACGAUCCCUAGCUGGUCUGAGAGGAUGACCAGCCACAUGGGAACUGAGAUACGGUCCAGACUCCUACGGGAGGCAGCAGUGGGGAAUAUGGCACAAUGGGCGCAAGCCUGAUGCAGCCAUGCCGCGUGUAUGAAGAAGGCCGUCGGGUUGUAAAGUACUUUCAGCGAGGAGGCGUUACUCACAGAAGAAGCACCGGCUAACUCCGUGCCAGCAGCCGCGGUAAUUC